AUUGAACGCUGGCGGCAGGCCUAACACUUGCAAGUCGAACGGUAGCACAGAGAGCUUGCUCUCGGGUGACGAGUGGCGGACGGGUGAGUAACGUCUGGGAAACUGCCCGAUGGAGGGGGAUAACUACUGGAAACGGUAGCUAAUACCGCAUAACGUCGCAAGACCAAAGUGGGGGACCUUCUGGCCUCACACCAUCGGAUGUGCCCAGAUGGGAUUAGCUAGUAGGGGGGGUAAUGGCUCACCUAGGCGACGAGCCCUAGCUGGUCUGAGAGGAUGACCAGCCACACUGGAACUGAGACACGGUCCAGACUCCUACGGGAGGCAGCAGUGGGGAAUAUUGCGCAAUGGGCGAAAGCCUGAUACAGCCAUGCCGCGUGUAUGAAGAAGGCCUUCGGGUUGUAAAGUACUUUCAGCGGGGAGGAAGGCGGUGAAGUUAAUAACUUCACCGAUUGACGUUACCCGCAGAAGAAGCACCGGCUAACUCCGUGCCAGCCGCCGCCGUAA
rnacentral:rRNA from 1 species